rnacentral:lncRNA from 1 species
UUGAGUUGGCAUAUUGUUUCAUCCGGUCAUAGUUAAGUCGGUAUAUUAUUCUAUCCGAUUAGUCGAGUCGGCAUGUUGUUCUAUCCGAACAGAAUCGAGUCGGCAUGUUGUUUCGCCUGACUAGAGUCGAGUCGGUAAAUAAGUAGCUUGUAGAUAAUCAAAUAUUCAACAAAAAUAUCGAAAGCCGAACAUGUCAUUUCAAAUAUUUAUUGAAGACAUAUCUAUUGAUAAUACAUACGUAGAUUGUCAGCAUUCUAUGUUUGAAGG